rnacentral:rRNA from 1 species
CCUACGGGUGGCAGCAGUGGGGAAUAUUGGGCAAUGGGCGCAAGCCUGACCCAGCAACGCCGCGUGAAGGAAGAAGGCUUUCGGGUUGUAAACUUCUUUUCUCAGGGACGAAGCAAGUGACGGUCCCUGAGGACUAAGCCACGGCUAACUACGUGCCGGCAGCCGCGGUACGGCGUAGGGGGCAAGCGGUAUCCGGAUUUACUGGGUGUAAAGGGCGUGGAGGCGGGAAAGCAAGUCAGCUGUGAAGACCAUGGGCUCACCCUGUGGCCUGCAUUUGAAACUGUUUUUCUUGAGUACUGGAGAGGCAGACGGAAUUCCUAGUGUAGCGGUGAAAUGCGUAGAUAUUAGGAGGAACACCAGUGGCGAAGGCGGUCUGCUGGACAGCAACUGACGCUGAUGCGCGCAAGCGUGGGGAGCAAACAGGAUUAGAUACCCCUGUAGUC